rnacentral:rRNA from 1 species
GCAAGUCGAACGAGAACGGGUAUUAGCUUGCUACUUCGCUGACGAGCGGCGGACGGGUGAGUAAUGCCUAGGAAAUUGCCCUGAUGUGGGGGAUAACCAUUGGAAACGAUGGCUAAUACCGCAUAAUGCCUUCGGGCCAAAGAGGGGGACCUUCGGGCCUCUCGCGUCAGGAUAUGCCUAGGUGGGAUUAGCUAGUUGGUGAGGUAAUGGCUCACCAAGGCGACGAUCCCUAGCUGGUCUGAGAGGAUGAUC